rnacentral:snRNA from 1 species
AGCUUUGCACAGUAGCAGUAUCGUAGCCAAUGAGGUUUAUCUGAGGCAUGAUUAUUGCUAAUUGAAAACUUUUCACAAGAUCCUGGAACACAUGCACAGAACAGUUCCCAAAGCCCUGCAUGUAGACUUCUUGUGAGAACUCAAG